CAGUAGCCGCGGGAAAACGUAGGUGGCGAGCGUUGUCCGGAAUUAUUGGGCGUAAAGGGAGCGCAGGCGGACAUAUAAGUCCAUCUUAAAGUGCGGGGCUCAACCCCGUGAGGGGAUGGAAACUGUAUGCCUUGAGUGCAGGAGAGGAAAGCGGAAUUCCCAGUGUAGCGGUGAAAUGCGUAGAUAUUGGGAGGAACACCAGUGGCGAAGGCGGCUUUCUGGACUGCAACUGACGCUGAGGCUCGAAAGCCAGGGGAGCGAACGGGAUUAGAUACCCCAGUAGUCCCUGUCUCUUAUACAC
rnacentral:rRNA from 1 species